GGGCCCGUAGCUCAGCCCGGUAGAGCGGCGGGCUCUUAACCCGUAGGUCCCGGGUUCGAAUCCCGGCGGGCCCGCCA
rnacentral:tRNA from 1 species